rnacentral:rRNA from 1 species
UUGAACGCUGGCGGCAGGCCUAACACAUGCAAGUCGAAUGGUAACAGGAAACAGCUUGCUGUUUCGCUGACGAGUGGCGGACGGGUGAGUAAUGUCUGGGAAACUGCCUGAUGGAGGAGGAUAACUACUGGAAUCGGUAGCUAAUACCGCAUAACGUCGCAAGACCAAAGAGGGGGACCUUCGGGCCUCUUGCCAUCAGAUGUGCCCAGAUGGGAUUAGCUAGUAGGUGGGGUAACGGCUCACCUAGGCGACGAUCCCUAGCUGGUCUGAGAGGAUGACCAGCCACACUGGAACUGAGACACGGUCCAGACUCCUACGGGAGGCAGCAGUGGGGAAUAUUGCACAAUGGGCGCAAGCCUGAUGCAGCCAUGCCGCGUGUAUGAAGAAGGCCUUCGGGUUGUAAAGUACUUUCAGCGGGGAGGAAAGGAGUAAAGUUAAUACCUUUGCUCAUUGACGUUACCCGCAGAAGAAGCACCGGCUAACUCCGUG